GAUGGACGCUAGCGAUAGGCUUAACACAUGCAAGUCGAGGGCAGGCUUGUCUUUGGUUUCCUAGACUGGAUGGCAACGGCCCCAGGGGGGGUAAAGGGGUUGGAACCUUGCCCCACAGGGGGGGUUAACCCUCGAAAGAACGGAUAAUACCCCCUACCACUUGGGAUGGGGCUUCUUACCCAAGGAAAAUAAAUUUGCCGUUGGAUAGGCAUGCGUCCCAUUAGCUAGUUGGCGAGGUAACGGCUCACCAAGGCGACGAUGGGUAGGGGAACUGAGAGGUUGAACCCCCGCACUGGUACUGAGACACGGACCAGACUCCUACGGGAGGCAGCAGUGAGGAAUAUUGGUCAAUGGGCGAGAGCCUGAACCAGCCAAGUCGCGUGAAGGAUGACUGUCUUAUGGAUUGUAAACUUCUUUUAUACGGGAAUAACAAGAGCCACGUGUGGCUCCCUGCAUGUACCGUAUGAAUAAGCAUCGGCUAACUCCGUG
rnacentral:rRNA from 1 species